UACGUAGGCGGAAAAUUAAGUCAGUAGUGAAAUCCCGCAGCUUAACUGUGGAACUGUUAUUGAUACUGGUUUUCUUGAAUAUAGUUGAGGUAGGCGGAAUGUGUAAUGUAGCGGUGAAAUGCUUAGAUAUUACACAGAACACCGAUUGCGAAGGCAGCUUACUAAGCUAUGAUUGACGCUGAGGUACGAAAGCGUGGGGAGCGAACAGGAUUAGAUACCCUGGUAGUCC
rnacentral:rRNA from 1 species